rnacentral:lncRNA from 1 species
UUAAAACUACACCUGCGUGGUGUUUUUUUUAGCGUGUUCCUAUGCCUGUGUGCCAAAAACAAAAACCAAAUAUCCUUGCGGUGCCACAAAAUUUUCAUCACCGGUUUCUGCCAGCGUUUAUAUGUAUAUAGACUCUGAUUUCUGCUUGUUUUGUGCUACAAAAUUUAUAUUAUUAUCCAGUACCGGAUCCAGAACUGCAGCUGGAUUCGCAAUGCUGGCGCUGAGCAAAAGGCAGAUGUGAACCGACAACAACUCCGUGGCAACCUUCUCCAAGCCAAUACGUGACACGUUCCGGUCUCCGCAACCAGAGCGUAUCAUUAGAUCUCCAACAGCAGGAUGGAUCCUUACAGGAAGUGUUUUAUAUUGUGCCAGAACGGCAUGAAGCUACCGCACAGAGAAACUACUGGUUCGGGGAACCAGUUGGAAUCGAUUUUCAUGGUCGUUUUGUGCUCUUCGUCACAGGGGGUUUUGUCGACCAAAUCUUCCGAAAUUCAUCAGUAAGAUGCUAAUAGUAUCGAUGCAAGUUUUUAGCCCAAUAGCUUACAAAAAACCUCAUGAGACGGAAAGAACAAAGCUGCCGAAAAUACUAGUCAUACUAGCUCGGCACACAGACAAUAUGAUGUGAAAAUUUAUUCCAUAUAGACAAAAAAGAGUGGAGUGCAAUUUUAAAUCAAUCAAUAAUAAACAAUCUAAAUAAAA